AGAGCAUCUGAUUUGUAAUCAGAGGGUCGCGUGUUCAAGUCAUGUAGCCGGCA
rnacentral:tRNA from 1 species